UACGAGAGCCUCGAGCGUUAUCCGGAAUUAUUGGGCGUAAAGGGUGCGUAGGUUGUUUUGUUAGUCUUUUGUUAAAGACCCGAGCUUAACUUGGGGACCGCGAAGGAAACGGCAAAACUUGAAAGUGUGAGAGGCGUACGGAACUCAUGGUGUAGGGGUGAAAUCUGUUGAUAUCAUGGGGAACACCGAAAGCGAAAGCAGUACGCUGGCGCAUAUUUGACACUGAAGCACGAAAGCGUGGGUAGCGAAUGGG
rnacentral:rRNA from 1 species